AUGCGAUAAGUAGUGUGAAUUGCAGAAUUCAGUGAAUCAUCGAAUCUUUGAACGCACAUUGCGCCCCUUGGUAUUCCAUGGGGCAUGCCUGUUCGAGCGUCAUUUACCCCCUCAAGCUCUGCUUGGUGUUGGGCGUCUGUCCCGUCUUCGCGCGUGGACUCGCCUUAAAGGUAUUGGCAGUCGUCUGUGUUUUUGCCCACGCGCAGCACAUUGCGCUUCUUGAGGCUUGUGAAACUCGACCGACAACCAUCAAGACUCCUUCCACAGUUUGACCUCGGAUCAGGUAGGGAUACCCGCUGAACUUAA
rnacentral:misc_RNA from 1 species